ensembl:lncRNA
GUGGGCUAAUCAGGAACUCUGAAAGCAGGUUGGAUUCAAGGAUCAGGCUGUGGUAUGACUGUGUCUUAGUUGCUAGCCUAUUGGAUUUCCAGACAUUGAAUAGGCUGACCUCCCUCUGAGAUUUUAAGGAAGUGUUAUUUCCAGAGACUCAGCAAGCCCUGCAAACAGGCUUGUGAUUGAUUGCUCAACCCCUGAGGCUGUCCCCAGGCCCCGUCAAAACCUCUACCAGAAGUUCUCCAGCAGCUCUUCCUGAACUUUAUGGGUAAGUUCAAGGCAAAGGUUCCAGGAAGUCAUAUUUUAGCCCGCCUCUGGCCCAAGCCCCAGUGCAGCAUGAUCAGUAGUGAGCCGAACACUGCAUUUUCAUCUCCAUCUGGCUUGUGUGUCGAACACACAAUUGAUUCUGAAUCUGGAAAGGAAGAACGGUAAGUAAGCUUCUGCCUCAAACCCCAACACCGAGGAGCUGGUACUUUAUCCCAUACACUUUGGGAAACAGUAGGGACUUAUCACCAGUUUUAAGCAGGCUUAAGGCAGAUAAAACUUGUGGUGUGUUUUGUAAAGGUAACUAUGGCAGCAUGGUGGAUUGGCAGGAAAAGGGUAAUAUUGGGGAAAUGAACCAAAAAAAUUAGCAAGCGAUAGCAAUAGGAAAACUUUUAAGGGCUUGAAGAGUUACAAUGAGUAGGGGAAACACUGAGGGAGGCAGGAAGAUGAAAAGCUAGCUGAUGCAGGAAAUGCAACAGAAGGAAUGCAUCCCGACCAGCAAAGGGAGCACCAAGGUGAAACUCUGUGGCCUGUAAAUGGAUACAAGUCACUCGCUUUGUUUUUGCUGGAGGGAAGGAAGAAACCGACAGCUGGAAUUCUGUCUGCAACAGAAGGGAAGAUUUUUAAACCCCUGUUUAUUUUACACUUGAAAAGGAUUCAUCCUGAAAACUGCCCGGCGGUAAAGACGCUCUUAAGGGAUUUUGGCAAGAUGUACACAAAAGAAAGCCUCAGUUAGCUACUGAACUGUUGCCCCCUGGGACCUUCAACCAUAGCAGGCACUCAGGAGUCUCCAGGUCCAAGGCACAAAGUUUGUGGUUAGAUAAUAAGGCUGAAUGACAUUCAUUUUAGAUCCCCUUUACCCUGGAUGAGAGCAUUGUGCUAAGCGAUCCUCAAGGCCUCAGCAGACUAUAGAAAACAUGCAGACCAGAAAAAACUCACAACACACUUCCGUGAUUUAGAAAGGCUCGAAGAGAUGAUUACUUGCCCAAGGGAGUUUAGCAUCAGUCCUGUUUCGUCAACAUCCCUUCUGUUAAACACUGCAUUUCUCACUGCUGUGCCUUUCCUGCUUUGUCACAGCUUUAUUUUAGUCCCUAAGUAAUUCUACUAGGGGCACUGAAUAAAUACUCAUCGGUCUCUGAGGCAAAUGUAGAUUCUGUUUGGCAGUUAGAGUUUGUUCAUCUUGCAGGGUUUAUGUGAGGUCUAUCAAGUGGGCUGAGUGCUAGCUUAGAUCCCGCCAUAUAGGAAGAAAAUAUGGCAUCUAUCCCCAACUACACAGAAAAUUGUGGCUUUAGCUACAAAACUGUUUAGCAAAAAGACACUUUGCUAUUACAAAUAUCUGGUAACCCUUCCCUGUUUUCACUCCCAUCUGUACUUCCUUCCCCUUUGAUGCUUCUCCAGAAUUACAUUUAUCACAAGAAUUCAGAAACUUAGUAGGUUACACUAAAAAAGAAAAAACUUAAUGGUAAUCAAAACACCACUCAAACAUUCUUUGGCUGGCCCCGAGGUUAUUAUUCAACAGCAUACUGCUUCUAACUCUUCACAAAGACUAAAAACUGUUUCUCAUCAUCAGUAAGAAGACUUAAGUUCUUUCCCAGAAACAGCUUAAAGUUCUUCCCCAACUUGGCCAGCUGCACUUGAAUUCAGGGUUUCCGCCCUAGAAAGAAUGUAGUUGUGUCCAAGUGGCAUGAGUCACAGAAUUCUAAGCAGGGGAGUUUUUCUCUCUUUAAGAGGGGCAACGGUGAGUUGUUUUUUCUGGUGAAAUAAUGCUUAAAGUGGACCAGGACUCGAGCCGGCCCAUCUCAUAGCUUUUAUCCAUGCCUGGGAGAUGUAAAAGGAAAAACUGAUGAGAAAGAGAAUAUUUGAACUCUGGCUCUGGGCCAAUCAACUUUGCAGAUUUACCAAGUAGUCUUAGCCAAGAACAAAGGUUCUUGAGUGGCGGUAUAGACGGUAUGGCGGGCAACAGUCCAUGGGGUCACAAAGAGUCGGACAUGACUGUGUCUGAGUACAGCACAUGGAAGAUUAAGCCCCUCUGGGAUGCCCAUUAAGGGCUUGCUGGCUGUCUGUAGGGAGCCCUAUAGUCUGCUGAGUCCUUAAGGAUCACUUAGCACAGUGCUCUCAUCAAGUCCUGCCACCCUAUUUGCUGCUGAGAGCUCCAAAGAUAGACUGCAUCCCAGCUUCACCUUCUUUGGACUUUUAUCUGGAGAGCUCCGUCAUUGUUUCUGAGAUUUGCAACAGUUCAUCAUGACUGGAACAUCAUUUACAUAAAGAUGAGUUUUUAUUCAUAGAAAGAAAAAGUUUUCGGAUGGACUUAUGAUUAUGUGACUCAUGCAGGCUUUUUUUUUUUAAUUGCUGAGGAUGGAUCCAUUUAAUUUUACCGAAAGUCUUCCAUACAAUAUUUCGGAUUUGAGAAAGAUACAAUAGAUAAUAUCAGUUCUAUUUGAUAGAAUCACAUAACACGCAUGCAGCAAACACCUACUAGAAUGUGAGCUGCUCUGCUAGAAGCUUUGGGAAAUAAAAAGCUGAGUAAUGCAUAGGCCCCACUCUCUGAUAGCUCAUAAUCAAGAGGCAAGACAAAGCAAAGGCACAUGUAACCACAAUACAAAGUGGGCUGUGAAAAGCUUUUGGUUACUUUCCAUAGACUAAUGGAAACGCACUGAAGGACUGCAUGCAGGACUGUAACUGCAUUUUACAAAGAUCACCUGGCCAGCAGAAUGGAGAACAGAUUUAAAGGGAAGAACUGAAGCAAAAAGCAUUAGGAGUUAUGGCAACAAUUGAGGUACAAUACAAAGGAGACUCAACCUAGCACAUGGAAUACAGAGGAAAUGCAUGAAAAGAUUUUAAGCAGAAGAAAUUAAUAGGAUGGAGUGGCAAAGGAUCAACUGGUGAGGGAUGCUGAGGGAAUGUAAAAAGGAACAGCUAGGCUUCUGCCUUCAGCUGCUGGGUGGAAAGCAGUGUGUGCACUGUAGGAGAACACGGCAGAGUGAGAAGGACAAUCAGGCCAGGCUGAGACGAAAGAGCCAGGGGAGCCCUAGGGAACCACACCACCCACGACAGAGUAGGUGCCUGCCGUAGCUUCACAGCAGACCCGGUCGGGAAGGCAGGCUCUGGGCCACGGAUGCCAAGCACAGAGUUGGACUUUAAUUCAGCGAGCUGGGGAGAGGCUUGAAAGCAGGAGAAAAACAAGAUUGAAGCAGUUCUCCUCUAAAACUAACCUAAUCAACAAAGAGACAAAGAUUCCAAAAGGUGAAGCGGUAUGAAGACACCUAGUUAGUGUCAGAGACAAAUUAAAAGGCAAGUCUUUGGACUCCUGGUCCAGUCUGUGCAAAGACAAGGAACCCUGCCUGCUUCUCAGAAUUCUAUGUCCUCCUCUAGAAUAGCAUUGAAGCAUGUAUAUUACCAUAUGUGAAAUAGAUGACCAGCCCAAGCUCAGUGCAUGAAACAGGGCACUCAAAGCCAGUGCACUGGGACAACCAGAGGAAUGAAAUGGGGAGGGAGGUGGGAGAGGGGUUCGGGGCAGGGGGGACACAUGUACACCCGUGGCUGAUUCAUGUCAAUGUAUGGUAAAAACCACCACAAUAUUGUAAAGUAAUUAGCCUCCAAUUAUAAUUAAUAAAUAUGUUUUUAAAUAUAUAAGAAAUACCAAGUAAGAAAAAAAAGAAGUCCUUCUCCCUUAAUCUAUCCCAGCCAUGAUAUUUAGCUUGGACUAGAACAUUUGGCACAUUAAGAAAAUGAAUGGCUACUUCCACUAUUUUUUGGUAACAACCAAAGAGCCCAGUCCAGUGUUCUAAUAAAAAAAAAAAGCUUAAAAAUACUGGUGAUUAUAAAUGCAGAUAGUGGCAAUGCUCUUUAAGACUCUUUCAAAGUCUAGUGGGAAUAAAAAGGGUAGAAAGACACUUUAAAAAACACUUUAAAGAUAAUAAAAUGGCUUCCAAACACACAUUAGUAUAGUUGCUGUCGUUCAACCAUCAAGUUGUGUCCAGCUCUCUGCAGCCUCAUAGACAGCAGCACGCCAGGCUUCCCUGUCCUUCACCAUCUCCUGGAGUUUGCUCCAACUUAUGUCCAUUGAGUCAGGGAUGCCAUCCAACCCUCUCAUCCUCUGCUGCCCCUUCUCCUUUUACCUUCAAUCUUUCCCAGCAUCAGGGUCUUUUCCAAUGAGUCAGCUCUUCACAUCAAGUGGCCAUAGUUCCCAAUUGCAGCAAAACUGUUUGGGAAGAAGAAGUUCCUAUUACCCAGGAAAUAAAGAUUGAGGAGGAGGGCAGAAUGAGAGGCUCGGAAAAGGAGAUGCUACAAUCAGCCUUGAAAAUGCCCAUUGGUCAAUUCCCAAGAACCUCAGAAGACUGUUUUUAACUCUAUCAUGGAACAACAAAAAUAAUCAAGUUUCAGAAAAGACAUUUUUCCUAAAUAUGAUUGUCUUUGGGGUAGUAUGUUGCUUUCUUCUUAUGACUAAAAAGUAUAAACUAAAUUAAUUUAGUCUAUUUUGCUAAAAUUAAAAAAAAAAUUAUUUAGGUUUAGAGCCUAGGCAGUCCAAGGAAGAGCCUGGGAAAGACCCAGACAAGCAACAAUCUAGCUCAAAGGAGACCCCAUGUCCACGAUGGGCAAACUAUAUGACAUGACUGGCCCACUGGGUGAAUCACAACAGCGUAUCUAUGUCUGGAAAUGACAAUGCAGAAGUAAUCAACUUUUGCGCACUAGUUGUGGUUGGAAUCUUCAGUCCUAGCCUUGGAAAAGGCCCUCCACAUCCCCCCUUCCUUGUAACAAAAAUGAAAAGCUAAGACAAAUUUUCCUCCCUUCUUAAUCAACGUCCCUAAUUUCAGCUUGGAGCCUGUACAAAAGCAAAGUGUUGGUACCUUGUGGAAGUCACAGCCUCAACAACAACAGUGCCCCUUUCUGGAUCCUGCCCAUCUCCUUUCACACUAUGCCUCUUAGCCCUUUUUCUCAGCUUGCCACCCUAGAGAAACCCACAAAAAUAUCUAAAAAUACAGAGGAAAAGCUCCCACUUCUGCAAAACAUGGGCAGUAUCACAACCACAAAUCACACAUCCGAGAGCCAACCUGCAGGCACUGUGCAAUCUGGACUGAGUCAGUUAGCUGCGUACGUGCGCAGUUUCUCAGAUGUUAGGUGAGAUAAAGGCAUCCCCUACAGUAAGUGAAGGUCACAGCCAGUAAUCUUUGAACUGAAACCAUGUGUUCUUGACAUGAAAACAGAUGAUGAGAGAGGCAGGGAAUGGUCCCGGACAGUCAUAGAGCAAUAUCACAAAACUGGAGAAAGGAGAAGGAGCUCAGAGUGAAAGCAUGUCACCUUACCUUUUCUAUGGGAUGAUCCAGCCUCUUACCCAAGGGAAGUAGGCAGAAGUGAAGCAGAGUAGAGGGAGGAGAGGAAAGAGUGAUGGGCAGAGAACAGUGAGCCUGUAAUCCAAAUGACUGCUGUUCACUAUACUAUUCUCUAUAUAGGGAAAAAACACAGGAAAAUUGUGUCCCUAGGCAAAAAGGGAGUGUCAACUUUGGGAAGGGAGAAAGUCUCCAAGACAAGAAACCCUAAGGCGGUCAGCAGGUAUCCAUGACUUACUGCACCACUGCUACCCAUUCAGUGUUACCCCCAACACCCAUUCUCUACAUACACACAAACACGCACAUACGAACUAGGGCCAGGAGUAAGGUGAGGCAAGUAAGGAGCCCAGGGAGACCCUGAAAGUCUGUUGCUCUUGAAUUUUGCACCCCAGGCACUUUGCUUGUCUCACCUUAACCCCAGUUCUGACACACAAAUGCAUCAGUGUGUCAGGAAACCACUGGCUCUAUUCAAUUAUGAGGAGUGAGUAGGGGAAAGAAAGAUAAUGAAGAUAAGAGACAAACAGCUCUCCUUGGCCUCAUAGAAAAGACAAAGUCAUCAUAACAGUACAAAGAAGAGCUUGUUAAAUUAUAGAAGAAUAUCAUAUCCAAGAAAGCAGAGCUCAGAAAAUAAAUGGAAGUGGAAAACAACAUUUGAGUGGUAGAUGCUACACAAGAAGAAAUUAAGAAAAUGGAAUAAGAACAACUGAAAAUGUCCUCAGGGACAUAAUAAGUAGUCUUGAGAAAAUUAAACAAAAUGAGAUAGAAAAGAGGAAUAAUAUACUUAAAAUGUCUAGAAAAAGUGAUACAUAGGGAAGCUAGAUUUAAAAAUGAACAUACACAUAAUUGUUGUGAAGACAAAACAGAAAAAUGGAAUAGAAGAAAAUAUACAAAGAUAUCCUAGAAAAAUAAAUAAAUUUCCUUGAACUAGAUCCUUCCAGGUACAAAUUAUUAGAGUAAAACAUGCAGUUGUAAAAACAUUAUCAGUAUGAUCAAUGGCAGUAUACAUCCUGGAAAAGUACCUGGCUGCCAUUAAAAAUUAACAAACAUUGUUUAAAUCUAGGCAUAAAAAGCAAGUAACUAAUCAGAUAGAUCCCAAAUUUUUCCACAAAAUUUCUCAAUUUCAGAUAAUAUUUAUAGUCUUGAGAGUCAGUUUGGGUAAGAACUUGGAAACUCUAUAACCCAUAAGACCUGAAAGGAAAGAAAAAUGAAAAACUGGGAAUUCCUUGGCAGUCCAAUGGUUAGGACUUGCCACAUUCACUGCCUUGGGCCCAGGUUUGAUGCCUGGUCAGGGAACUAAGACCCCGCAAGUUGCUCCCCCCAAAAAAUUUUAAUUUAAUUUAAAGAUUUUUUAAAUAUUGAAAGGUAAGAUCCAGUCAACAUAAAAAUGAACAAAAAUAAAUUACUUUGGAAAGAACAGACAGGUGGUAAACAUCGAAUCAGUGUGUACAUCAGAUCAGAUCAGAUCAGAUCAGUCGCUCAGUCGUGUCCAACUCUUUGUGACCCCAUGAAUCACAGCACGCCAGGCCUCCCUGUCCCUCACCAACUCCCGGAGUUCACUCAGACUCACGUCCAUCGAGUCAGUGAUGCUAUCCAGCCAUCUCAUCCUCUGUCGUCCCCUUCUCCUCUUGCCCUCAAUCCCUCCCAGCAUCAUAGAACUAUGCAUAAACGUAAAUCUCAAAAAUCUUGAAAAUAGAAAAAUUAUAAUAUGAAUAAUUUUCAAAACUGGCAUCCAGGUGAAAGCUGGAGGGGGGAAGUGUGCUAAUUUUCUAAUAUUCAGAGCAAUAGAUACUACCCAAAAUUUAAUUCUGUAGUUUUUUAAAAAAAACGACUACAUUCUCUGUAUCCUCUUAGCA